AACGUAGGACGCAAGCGUUAUCCGGAGUUACUGGGCGUAAAGCGCGGGCAGGCGGUUCUGCCAGUCUGAUGUGAAAUCUCUCCGCUCAACGGGGAGCAGCCAUUGGAAACUACAGAACUGGAGUCUGACAGAGGUAGGCGGAAUUCCGGGUGGAGUGGUGAAAUGCGUAGAGAUCCGGAGGAACACCAGAGGCGAAGGCGGCCUACUGGGUCAGUACUGACGCUGAGCCGCGAAAGCCAGGGGAGCGAACGGG
rnacentral:rRNA from 1 species